UUCCAGCCCAGCCACCAAUCGUCAGGCGGCAACCUGAGAUGUAAACAAAAGCAUCCUCCCAGGUGGGCUGACUUGUCCAGCUGUCCUGCCAGAGUGAAGCCUGGGAGCCGCCAGCCCCUGCUCCCUCUUUUCUGGGUCCCUGAAACAGAGAAGAUCUUGGUGGCAGUGCUUUUCCAGUUCCUUCUCUGAUGAGCCUCUGAGCAAAGCAGGUCUGGGCCCUUCUCUUUUGUGGCAAUUCUACCUGGUCAGCCCUCAACAGCACCCGCCUCCACAGGACUACGUAGGUAACGUUAAAUUCUGAAGAGUGAGGCACAUCUCAGAAGGUGAUUCCAAAGUGGAAGUUUGAAGGUUGAAAUCACGACUAAUUCGACUGUAGAGAGGAAGGCUCUGACGCAGAGCCUCCUGAACGCUACCUUCACUUGCAAUAUUCCUCCCCUCUGGACUCUGCUUACCCACAGGUAGCCCUCCAUUCAAGUCUGGUGACCCCAUCUCCUCCCUCAGAAAACCCAGUCCUGUCCGUAGCUACUCAUCUUCUGAUUUAAUUACACUUAUUGGGUUCCCCCUUAAAGCUGGGUGCCAGAAACAGAACAAACAUGAUCCCUAUCCUCAUGGAGUGUAUAAUUUGGGGAGAGAAGCUAUUUUAAUCAAAGUAUGAUACAAAUAUACGUAAAAUGACAAAGACUACAAUGAAGGAAGGAUGCACUGGGCCCACAGAAAGACUUGCCUGAGGAAAUGACUCUUGAGGAUGAGUUUGAGGAAAGUUUUUGUUUCUUAAGACAGUAGUGACUUUAGCAUUUUCAUGCCCAUGGGAAGGCCAUGCCAGUGUUUGAGCUGGUGCUCCUGAGACGGUGGAGGGGCAGAGCCAUCUCAAAUAGCAAGAAGGACUUCUCUCCAAGGCAGACAUGCUCUGAUCUCCCAAAUAAGGCAUUGGCAGGACUCAGCUCCAGUUGGAUUUUCCUCUUUGAAACCCUUCCUGACCCACACUCCCUUUGGAGUCACCGCUACGCUUUGUGACCUACAUCUUCAGCAUCGCUCAUGGCACUCAUUAUACCUGCUCUCACCCUUAAGAUCUGAUGACGGAUUUAGCUUGUCUGGCACACAGCCACCAUUCGCCUUGGCUGCACUACUGCCUUCACCCUUAGCUGUUGCAACUCUUGGCCACCCUGGGUAAAGGCCCUGCCAAGCCCCCCUCCCAGACUUGUCCACGUGGAGGAGAAGUGCUUCCAGGAGGAGCUCACAGCAAGAGGAUGAAGUCUGAGUGCAGAGGGAAAGUGAGCUUGGCCAAAGGCUGGCAAGGAGGAGAGACAAGGAACCAGUGGAAUUUCCCAGGAAGGGCGACUUGACUGUUCCCUUUAAUCUGAUUCUGUACUAUUCUGUUUUGUUUUGUUUUUUUAGCCAUGACAAUAUACUAUGUGAAAAACAAAGCUUUUGUUUUUAAAACAAAAACUGAUAAAUGAGGAGAAGGAAGUGUGUUCAUUCAUUCAUUCAUUCAGAGAUACUUCCAGAGCCCCAGGUAGACCACCUGCUAGGUGCUGGGGACACUGGUGAACAGUCUCCAUCCCCGAUCUCAGGGAGCUUUCCACUAAGCAGGAUUGAUGAGCAGACAUUAAGCAAAUAAUUACACACUUGCUUGCGUCAGUGCAGAAGUUGGGACUCUGGGAGAGUUCGACCCUGAGCGCUUCUGCUUUCCCUGAAAGGUAGGAGGCAAGGUCAUUUGCUUGGAAAGGGACUGGAGCUGGGUAGGGGGCUUGAAAGCUACGAGGAAGGUUAGGGAAAAGGGUUGCAGGAAAGGGGGGGGGGCAUGGAAACAGGAACAGAACUGCGCAGACCUUUUGCUUGAAUGUCUCCAAGCUCAAGUCCCAGAGCCUGAUUUUAAGCUGGCCAUCCAUGUCACAUGUGUAGCAAAUUCCUUUUCUUUCGACUCUGUUAGUCACCAUUCUCCUUUUAGCAUUGCCAGCAGGGAUCUCCUUUUGCAGAAGUAUCUUCAAUUCACAGUGAUCAUACUGGUAAUAGCCAAUCCUUAUCUUCAGGACUAUUAAGUGACAGGAUAGACCUUUAGAUUAAAAGCAAUAUGAUAAAAAUAAAUAAAUAAAUAAAUAAAUAAAUAAAUAAAUAAAAGCAAUAUGACUGUGGCCUUAUUAGGUUCUUAAUUAGACUUUAAGGCCCUACUCUUAAGAGUCACUCCGCCCUCGUCCCCUGGGCUUUGGCAAGCUCAGAACCAUUGCCUUCCCAGGACAUUGGCACCAUAGCCCUGAUGAAGCCCCAAAUAUAUUACCAAUAAAGUGACUCCAGUGGUAUCUAUUGUUAAACAACAACCCUUUAAUCACAGUCUUAUAAAUUAUAAGUGCCUUGGAACUUUUUUUCCCUUAAUCUUACGUGCACAUUUCUUAACAUCAUUCACUAACCUACAAGCGUAUAUUUUCUGGAUAUUGGAAAAGAGAAUUAAAAACAAGACAGGCAUCUCCUCACAUGUUUCUCUUGCAGAAAGCAGUGCUUUAUUUCAUUGAUCUACAGGGUCUACCUUCUGUGCAGUGAAUUUUCAAAUGUAUGUGGAGUUUCCUCUUGAAUGCUGUACUAAAUCAGGGCGUUUUCAGAUAUGAAAGAGCAAAACAAGAGGUUGUGACAAAGAGAAGUAUUUCACGAAUAUGUUCUAGAUAACGGAUUCACUCAUUCUGUGCACAUCUUGCCUAAAUCCCUCCAUUCAUUUUGUUUGU